rnacentral:rRNA from 1 species
AGUGAACGCUGGCGGUAGGCCUAACACAUGCAAGUCGAACGGCAGCACAGUAAGAGCUUGCUCUUACGGGUGGCGAGUGGCGGACGGGUGAGGAAUACAUCGGAAUCUACUUUUUCGUGGGGGAUAACGUAGGGAAACUUACGCUAAUACCGCAUACGACCUACGGGUGAAAGCAGGGGAUCUUCGGACCUUGCGCGAUUGAAUGAGCCGAUGUCGGAUUAGCUAGUUGGCGGGGUAAAGGCCCACCAAGGCGACGAUCCGUAGCUGGUCUGAGAGGAUGAUCACCCACACUGGAACUGAGACACGGUCCCGACUCCUACGGGAGGCAGCGGUGGGGAAUAUUGCACAAUGGGCGCAAGCCUGAUCCAGCCAUACCGCGUGGGUGAAGAAGGCCUUCGGGUUGUAAAGCCCUUUUGUUGGGAAAGAAAAGCAGCAGGUUAAUACCCCGCUGUUCUGACGGUACCCAAAGAAUAAGCACCGGCUAACUUCGUG